CACAUGGAGCAUAUACGUUCAUUACGAUUACCUGAAUUCUUUCUGGUUCCCAAUACCUUUCUGCUCCGAUGAAGUGCUCACCACGAAUUUCAGCAUGUUUCUUGAAAUUCUUUCUGGUUCCCAAUACCCUACUUACAGAAAUUAAAAGCUGGGAAAAGCAUCACCUAGUUACAGGUUUGCAUUGCAUCUUAUGCUGCCACAGUGCCACUGUUGCAACUACUCCUGAAGUCCAAUGCUCAUGAAACAUUAUUAUCGGCAAUGAAGAGAAAAUUUCCUGAUAUCUAUAAAUACUAACAUGCUGAAUCUAUUAUAGCAGAACCAGCUAUUGAAGUGACGAUGACAGAUGAACAAUAUGUCUAAAUCAGAUGCAUUGAAGUUUUAAGAUCUUAAUUAAGGCCAAUACAUUUUCAAAGCAUUGAUCUAUUUAUCUUGGAGACUGAUAUUUUCCAUCACGCCUUAGAGUACAUUUAGUAAUAAAGCCAGGCACAUCUAGGAAUGAAGCCAAGUUAUGGCAAACCAUUUUCAUUUUACAAAACCUACACUUAAAAUAAUGGCACCACCGUGAUUUUGUCAAAGCCAUGGUAAUUCCAGCAUGCAUUUAAUUUUAUUGUAUAUAGUAUAGAAGAGUAAAUUACAGUCAUUCACUUUUAUUCUUGAUGUUUGUGAAUCAAAAGUUUAUACACUUUACAGUCCUACAAUUUUAUCUAUUUUGAGAUAAAACAAUGCUGGAAGGCAAAGGUGUCUUCGAUUAAAUGUUGGUCUUUCAAAAAGUUUUUGGACAGCAUCACUAAAUAUGGCUUGCUAUCUUGUCAACAAAUCACCACAAGCUUCACUGAAUGGCAAAAUUGUUGAGGAGGUGUGGACAGGUAAUCCCAUUAAUCUGAGUAAUUUGAGGAUUUUUGGGUGUUCAAACAUAUGUAUAUAUUUCCAGUGAGGAUCGGUCUAAACUUGAUUCCAAGUCAAAACAAUGCAUCUUUAUUGGCUACAAUAAAAAUAUGUAGGGUUACAAGUUAUAGGAUCCAGUUAAGAGGAAGGUGGUUGUUAGUAGAGAUGUUGUAUUUAAUGAGUAGUGGAUGUUGAAACAGUCAAAUGUGAUAGUCGUAUCAGAUACUAAAGUAGGAAAUUCCAGUCAGAACAAUAUUUAGGUGGACAUUAAGGAGCCACUAGUGAGUCCAAGGUAGGUUGUAGCCCAACAACAGGAUGAAUCAGGCUCAAAUUUAGGUGGAGUACAAGACUAUACACUUGUGCGUGAUAGGAAGCCCCUUCGUAUUACACCUCCAGUGAGAUAUGGGUUUGAAGACUUAGCACCAUAUUCUCUUCUUACCAGUUUCAGGAGACCCUUCUAUCUUUUUGAGAGGUUAUGGCUAGCCAGGAGAAAAAUAAGUGUAUGAUGCUAUAGUGGAGGAGAUGGAGUCUUUGAAAAAGAAUGAGAAAUGAGAUCUUGUUCAGCUGCCACAAGGAAAGAGAGCUAUUGGUUGCCAGUGUGUAUAAAAGAAAAAUCUAGCAGUAAUAGAAAAAGAAGGGGAAAAGUUCAAGGCUCGUCUAGUUGUAAAGGGGUAUUCACAGUAGAAUGGGGUUGAUUAUGAUGAGAUUUUCAUUAUGGUUGUUAGACACACUUUUAUCAGAACAUUAUUAGACAUGGUAGCCAACAAGGAUAUGCAUUUAGAGAAGAUGGAUGUGAAAACAAUUUUCCUCGAUGGUAAUCUAGAGGAACAAAUCUACACGGAGUAACCAUAGAGUUGUAGUGAUACUGGACAUGGCAGACUUAUUUGCAAAUUGAAGAGGUCUUUGUUGAAUUAGUCUACGAGGAAGUGGUACAAGCACUUUGAUUCAUACAUGCUCCGGAUUAACUAUAGAAGGUUUGUUUAUGAUUGAUGUGUUUAUGCGAGCAGCCUUGAUGACGGUUCUUUUAUUUUUCUUUUAUUUUAUGUUGGUGAUUUGUUGACUGCUGCGAACCAUUUGCAUGUUGUAAAUGAGUUGAAGAAAAAGUUGAGUAAGGCGUUUGAUAUAAAGGAUUUGGGUGCUGCAAAGAAGAUUCUUGGGAUGGAAAUUCACAAGGACAGGGGAGCUAAUAAAUUAUGGCUGUCUCAGAAAGACUAUGUUGAAUGUGUUUUUAGCAUAUUUGACACGAGGAAAGAAAAGCCUGGAGUACUCCAUUGGCAAAUCACUUUAGUCUUUCUUUGAAACAAUUUCCAAAGACAAACUCAAAGAUUGAAGGUAUGUCUAAGAAUUCUUAUGCUAAUGCAGUUGAUUGUUUGAUGUAUUAUAUGGUUUGCACUAGAUUGAAUUUGGAACAAGAAUUUAUGUACAAGUUCAUGUCCAAAGCAGGGAAGCAACAUUGGGAAGCAGUCAAGUGGAUCCUAAGGUACUUGAAGGGUACAAGGCAUCAUGGUAUCAUGUUUAACAUGGAGUAGAUGAUUCCAUCAAUUAUGGGAUAUGUGGAUUAUGACUAUGCAGGUGAUAUGGACGAUAGGAGGUUUACAAUAGGCUAUGUCUUUACUCUUGCGGGGGACCUAUAUGCUGAAAAUCAUCAGUUCAAUCCAUAGUAGCUAUGUAUAUAGUUGAGGCAAAAUACAUGGCAAUAGAUGAAGCUGCCAAGGAAGCAUUUUGUGGCUUACAUGGUUAGUAAAAGAGUUUGGUGGUGAGCAAGGUGGAGUUCAAUUGCAUUGUAAUAGUCAAAGCGCUAUAUAUUUGAUAAAAAAUCAGGUGUAUCAUGCUAAAAGCAAACAUAUUGAAGUGAGGUUUGUUGUACCCCAAUUUUUCACCCAGAGAUUCCACAUUAUUUAGCGAAUAGUGUGAUCAUCAUCAUCAUCAUUAGCAUUACCAUCGUUGUUCAUAUACCAUUAGCUAACCAAAAUAUACAAAAAAAAAAAUUGUGUCUUGCUUGUUGUUAGUUUCCCAAGGUAGGUGCCUGAUCAGGAGACUCAGGCAAAUUAGGGUUUUGAGGACCACAAAGAAGCUCAAGCAUUCUCAUAUGCUCAAAUGAUUCCCCUUCUCAAAAUCAAAGUCCAAAAAAGGCUCAAUUCAAGAUCAACAACUUCCUAUUUCAUCUGGUGCACAAAAUAGGAUUUUGGACCUAAUUCAUCUGGAGAGUUGACUUUUAAUCAGGACACGGCUCCAUAGAUCAAACCAUGAUUCAAGGAUCUCCAAUGCAUCAUUAUAAUCCACUCAUGUCAUUCAUUUGAAGAUAAGAGCUUGAUUCAAUUGGUAUUUAUAAGAAUGCAAUUCAUUUGGAAAAAGUAAACUAUCCAAGACUACCAUUGACUUUUGGGAAAUUUGGUCAACUAUGGACUUUUGAAGAUAAAAAAUCAUUAACAUAUGAUUAUUGGAGUCAUUUGAUAAAGAAAAAUCAAGAAAAUCAAUCAAGAAUAAAAAGUCAACAAAAGUCAAAGUUGAAAAAUUUCAAAGACUUACAAAAUUUCUAAGUGUUUUCGAGCUUUUUAGCCAUAACUUCAUGCACAAGUAACUUUAAAAUCCAAGAAGAAACUGAAAAAUCUUCCAAAAUGACAGUUGUAGAUCUUGGUCCAUACAACAACUUUGUCACAAAUAAAUUUUUCCCAAAAAAUGAAUCAUUUGAGAGUGUUAUGGGUUCAUGAAGAUUCAUAAAAAAGACUUCGAAAAUUUCUUAGUGUUUUAACCUAGUUUUUCCCUAACUUUAUGGGCAUUUUUCACCAAGAUGGAAGGUGAAUCUGAAGAAACACCAAAUAAGGGAGUUGAAGAGUGUUGCAAGAGCUUUCCAAAGAGUAUUCAAACACCUCCAUAGCAUGUGUGAGUUAGGAGAAUCAAAUUGAAGAAGAUAACGCCAUAACACUUGAAUGCAAGCCAUGAAAAUGCAAAGUUAUGAUCCAAGUUUAUCCAAAUCUGUAAGAACCAAGCACUACAGGUCCUAUAACUUGUUCAAGACACCAUAAUCAAAUGAUUUCACUUUCUUUUGAUUCAUUACCCAAGUGUUUCAAGCAUUGUCCAAAGAUUCAUUCCACUUCAAGCAUAAAGAUAUGACUUCCAUUCUUGUAAAGUGACUUUAAU